CGUCUCCUGUCUCUGUGAGCAUUACCUUCCGGGAACACAUCUCACAAGACCACUAUUGUCCAGCUCCACACCUCUUAUGAUCCAAAAUAGGUCCAAAAUAGGUCUCCAAUUGUCUGGACCUUUCAGAGCAAGAAAAGUACAGGAAUAGAACCUUGACUGUACUCUCGGUCAGGAACAGGUAUGAUAAUUCACAAAUGGAGGAUACUGCACUCACACUUAGGUUGGCAAUAUCCAGUUUAGUAGAUAAAUAAAAUUAGAUCUAGGCACUGAGGAUUGCUGCAGGAAGGCGGGUUUAUUGUAACAAAAACUGCAAAGUUUCAGCCUAAACAGAGGCCUUUAUCAAGCUUUUUUUCUUUUACAAGCUUGAUAAAUGUCUCUGUGUAGG